rnacentral:rRNA from 2 species
UCUGGUGGCGAUGCGCCUGUGGGAAACACCCGUUCCCAUCCCGAACACGACGGUUAAGACGCAGGCGGCCGAUGGUACUGCACUGGAGACGGUGUGGGAGAGCAGGUGGCCGCCAGAU